rnacentral:rRNA from 1 species
GAUGAACGCUGGCGGCGUGCCUAAUACAUGCAAGUCGAGCGAACAGAUGAGGAGCUUGCUCCUCUGACGUUAGCGGCGGACGGGUGAGUAACACGUGGAUAACCUACCUAUAAGACUGGGAUAACUUCGGGAAACCGGAUCUAAUACCGGAUAAUAUAUUUAACCGCAUGGUUCAAUAGUGAAAGACGGUUUUGCUGUCACUUAUAGAUGGAUCCGCGCCGCAUUAGCUAGUUGGUAAGGUAACGGCUUACCAAGGCAACGAUGCGUAGCCGACCUGAGAGGGUGAUCGGCCACACAGGAAGAGAGACACGGUACAGAGUGCUACGGGAGGAAGCAGUAGGGAAUCUUCCGCAAUGGGCGAAAGCAUGACGGAGCAAAGCCGCGUGAGUGAUGAAGGUCUUCGGAUCGUAAAACUCUGUUAUUAGGGAAGAACAAAUGUGUAAGUAACUAUGCACGUCUUGACGGUACCUAAUCAGAAAGCCACGGCUAACUACGUG